AAGAAGCGGAGGGAAGCAACACAGCGCAGCGUGACUACGUGCUUGAUCUGUCUCCUCCUAAUGGGCAUGCAGAACCUCAGCUUUUAAGUUGGUCUCCGCAGAGGACAACUGCAUUCUCCAGCCUCCUGUACAGCAGAGAGUGCCAUGUGACUAAGACCAAGUUCUAACCAGUGGGAUCAAAGCAGGGAAGUGUUGCCUUCUUUGCCCCUUCCUGCUGGCUGGAAUAUGACAAAACGGCUGCAGCAUGAGCAACCUUCUUGGGCCCUGAGGUGGAAGCCACCUGUUGGUUGACAGACCAGAUGGUGGAGUGACCAGAUAGAAGGGGCCUGGUGAUUGUGGAUUCUGCCACACUACCUCUGGUCCCCUAUACCUAUGUGAAAGGAAAAGAAAUGUCUGCCAUGUUUGUGUGUGUGUGUGUGUGUGUGUCUGUGUAGUUUGUGUGUGUGUGUGUGUGUCUGCCAUGUUUAAGCCACUAUAACUUUGGGAUAUCUGUGGCUUAUAGUCAAAUCUAAUCCAAACAAAUGCACCUCUAUGUCCCCCUCACAGAUAAGAAGAUUGAUGCAAGGGAACCCCUGUUGUGGCCAUAACACAAAGAUAGCUUCAACCACCACCAACAUGGAGCUGGACUCCACCCUUCCUGGCCUCCUGGCCUUUUAUUCCCCGCUAAUUCCUCUGGAUUCCUAAUGACUCCCAUUCCCUGCAUGCACACCAGGUACAGUCACAUCUCCUGGCAUUUACUCUUGCCAUACCCACUGUCCA
rnacentral:lncRNA from 1 species